rnacentral:rRNA from 1 species
UACGUAGGCUGCGAGCGUUGUUCGGAGUUACUGGGCGUAAAGAGUGCGUAGGCGGUUUUCUAAGUUUGGGGUGAAAUCUCCCGGCUCAACUGGGAGGGUGCGCCGAAGACUGGAAGGCUUGAGUAUGGGAGAGGUAAGCGGAAUUCCUGGUGUAGCGGUGAAAUGCGUAGAUAUCAGGAGGAACACCUGCGAUGUAGACGGCUUUCUGGACCAUUGCUGACGCUGAGACACGAAAGCGUGGGUAGCAAACAGG